GUCUCUUUUGGUGACUCUGGAUAACUUUUAGCCGAUCGCACGGUCACAGUACCGGCGACGCAUCUUUCAAAUGUCUGACUUAUCAACUGUCGAUGGUAGGCUCUGCGCCUACCAUGGUUGUAACGGGUAACGGGGAAUCAGGGUUCGAUUCCGGAGAGGGAGCCUGAGAAACGGCUACCACAUCCAAGGAAGGCAGCAGGCGCGCAAAUUACCCACUCCCGGCACGGGGAGGUAGUGACGAAAAAUAACGAUACGGGACUCAUCCGAGGCCCCGUAAUCGGAAUGAGUACACUUUAAAUACUUUAACGAGUACCAAUUGGAGGGCAAGUCUGGUGCCAGCAGCCGCGGUAAUUCCAGCUCCAAUAGCGUAUAUUAAAGUUGUUGCGGUUAAAAAGCUCGUAGUUGGAUCUGUGUGCCACGCUGUCGGUUCACCGCCUGUCGGUGUCAACUGGCAUGUCUGUGGGACGUCCUGCCGGUGGCGGUACGGGCUGCCGGCGCUGCGUAGGGGCUCGCCCCCGAAGCACGCCGGCGUGUCCCGGUCCGCCGAUCCAAUCCCGCCGCG
rnacentral:rRNA from 1 species